rnacentral:misc_RNA from 1 species
GGCCCUUAGGAUAAUUAUCAAACCGCGUUCGAAGAAUAUGCUCCAAGUUCUUGGGAUGGCAAGUAACUGUGUAGAAUCCUUGCCUGCGAGCCAGGAAAGGAAGAGCUAUAGUACACGUUUGGUAAGUUGAUGCAGCACCAAUUUCCCGGAGAUUACUGGCGAUCCAGUCAUGGAUUUGUCUCCUGUUCUCGAAGAGAACCGGGAGGCUUCCCACUAUAGGCCAUACCUUAGGCCCAGUAAGUUUAUGAGCUAGGAGAUAGAACCAAAAGAGAUAAGCAGAUGUAGCACCUGCUAGGGUAAAAAAGAAAGGCAAGGUCUCCAUGUGAUCGAUAUUUGAGAUUUAGGAUGAUAGGACAAUAAGAGUAAUGAUAUAGAGAGGUGUUAUUUAUAUUAAAUGAUAUUAAAAUGAAGUUUUAGGUGGAAGUUGUUGCCUAGUUCGAAAUAUUGUGCUUUUGGGUUGAUAGGAUCCGUGUGAG